CUGGAAAAGAAAAUAUAAAAAUAUAAACUUGUCUUCCAUCUCGUCGCAGGAGAUGAGUCAGCAGAACAGGAAAUUCUCCUUGCACAAGCCCUUCUGAUCCCGUGGGCUGGGUGUGUGCGGUAUCGAGCGAGGGCUGGGAAGGGGAACCGGCUUCUCUACUGCAACCACUUUGAAAGGUGAACAAUGCGAGCUGGCCGGAGUUGGAGUGACAUCCUGGAGGUCACAGAUAUUUCAGAUUUGGCCACAGAGUCAGUUUCUCUGGAAGGACUUGAAGCUUAUCUCCAGGACAUCCAAGAUCUUCCUCCUUUGAGGUCCGAAGCUGUGAAGCACUUCUCCAAGCAUGACCUAGAGGAGGCAACUCCCUUAGGUAACCAGUAGGACCUGUAUUUAGCUUGGUGUCAUUUAUGGAGUGCCAGCCAAUGGGAGUGGCAUAAAAUGGCAUGUUUGUCACGACUGUGCUUUCAGACUUUCUGCAGACGCCAGCCCCAUGGCAAAGAAAAGCGGAGAUGACUCUGUCACAUCAAACCAGAGCUUGUUGUCUUCAAGGUUUGGAGUAAUCCAUCCACCUUUCUUCAAAAAAUGUCUCCCAUGAGCACUUAGGGGGAAGGUCAUGUCCUCAGCAGCAACUGUCGAGUAGACACUCUUGGUCAAUAAUUAGAAAGAAGGGAGUUCGCGUCGUGGCGCAGUGGUUAACGAAUCCGACUAGGAACCAUGAGGUUGUGGGUUCGGUCCCUGCCCUUGCUCGGUGGGUUAACGAUCCUGCGUUGCCGUGAGCUGUGGUGUAGGUUGCAGACGCGGCUCGGAUCCCGCGUUGCUGUGGCUCUGGUGUAUGCCGGAGACUACAGCUCCGAUUAGACCCCUAGCCUGGGAACUUCCAUGUGCCGCGGGAGCGGCUCAAGAAAUAGCAAAAAAAAAGACAAAAAAAAAAAAAGAGAGCACAUUUUAUUGCUUCAUACGGUAUUCCCUCCACUAUGAUAGUGUCAUCCUAGUUUUAUUAUUGUCACCCUAAAUCCCCAGCCCAGAAACAAUAGGGAUGAAGGGCAUUACUUCCUCUGCAGCAGUGAAAGCUUUUCGAAAUAGUUAUUACUAGUUGUCCAAUCAGUCAUCUUCUUUCCGUGACAGUUAAA
rnacentral:lncRNA from 1 species